GGCCUCUUCACAGGGCAUGUGCUCGUCCCAUCUAUUUAUCUUCUCUUGUGCACCUUUUGUAGUCUUUUUGAAUGAACAGCAGUUAUUGGAGCGUGAGCGCGCAAGCGCACUGCACCUGUCUGUCUUGCUUUCUUCAGAGGGACUACGUUUUCAUAUACACUAUAAAGUUACAGAAUGUCUUUUAACGAUUGUGCUUGUCGCAGUCAUUAAACCUAUACAACUUUCAGCAACGGAUCUCUUGGCUCUCCCAUCGAUGAAGAACGCAGCGAAAUGCGAUAAGUAAUGUGAAUUGCAGAAUUCAGUGAAUCAUCGAAUCUUUGAACGCACCUUGCGCCCUUUGGUAUUCCGAAGGGCAUGCCUGUUUGAGUGUCAUUAAAUUAUCAACCUUGCUUUGCUUUUACCAGCAUUGCUCGGCUUGGAUGUGGGGGUUUUUGCUGGCUUCCUUCAGUGGAUGGUCUGCUCCCCUUAAAUGCAUUAGUGGGAUCUCUUGUGGACCGUCACUUGGUGUGAUAAUUAUCUAUGCCAUGCGACUUUGAAGCAAACUUUAUGGGAACCUGCUUAUAACCGUCCCUCACAAGGACAACUUAUUGACAUUUUGACCUCAAAUCAGGUAGGACUACCCGCUGAACUUAAGCAUAUC
rnacentral:rRNA from 1 species